AGAGAAAGCUUGGGAUCCUGAGCGCGUGGGGAAGGAACCCCAGUGCGGGGCUAAGGCAAGGGCGGCCGAACCCUGCCCUCCAGCUCCUGGUCACCAGCCCGCGGGUCCCGAGCGCCCGCAGCCGCCCGGGUUUCCACACGGCUUGGGGAGACGCCCGCGGGGGCGGGUGCCGGCGAGGCUGCCCCGGGACCUACCCUCUUCGGCCUGCCCGCCCGCGUUUUUCUUGACGACUCCAGGAUCCGGGUGGCGCUGCGUGCCUGGCCCCAGUCCGCGUCCUGCGCGGAGAGGAUGCCUCUGUCACCCUCUGUGUGGACGUGGCCUUUAAACUCCUCAUUCCUCCACUGCGGGGGAAGAGCUGAAUGAUCAGAUCGUAUUGGUUGACCAAGAGCACUAUGGCUGAGGUUGGAUGGCAGCUGAAAUGGAUUCCUCGAGACUGUUACCCUUAACCAGGAGAGAGAGUCCACAGCUGGGCAGAAGCAGUGACAGCAAAGAAGGGGACAAGUCCUGGGAAGAGCUACUACUUCACAAUUGCAUGAGAAGAGAUCAAUUUAUAUGUAUGGCUCAUACACAUCUCAAAAGGAGAAAUCAAGAGGGACUUAGGUAUGACCUACCACGACUGUGAAGCCUUUACUGAAUUUGCUGGUUCCUGAGGUUUCUUCUCAAGCUUCUGUAGAAGCUAUCCUCUGCACCACAACAUUAGAUCCUGAAUCAUGUGCUAUCAAUACUACUGGAUUUUUUGUUUUUCUGUGCCUGCUUUUCUUUCCUGUGCAGGUGGACAGAAAUACACAUGGGUUGCAGUAUCUAGGGAAAUGCCAACUGAAGGUUCUUCAGGCCUAUUACAGACUAAUGUAACUUUGAAGAGCACAGUGAAUUCCAAUAUCUAAUCUUCAUCUUUGCAAGACCAAGAAUUCACUCUUGUCUGAGUCCUAGAAAUGAUUAUUGAUUCGAGUAUUAAUUAUAUUUUCCUAACGUUUGAGUUGUCUCAAUGUUAAGUGGAGACAAUCUGGACAAAACAGAAGCUUUCUGCUCCACCUACUUGUAAGGCAAUGAGGGCAAUCACUCAACAGAAUUCCUCCUAAGAGGAACCCUGAGAGUGUUUGGAAGAAAUAAAUACUAUGCAGAAUGGAUGGUGACCAUCAAGAAAAAACUUCAGCGGAAAAAGAUGGCUCCCAGAUUUCUUUCUCAAGGAAACCAGAGCUCCAGGAGAAUGUUUUGUUUGACUGAGUACUUUGCUGGGCCAGAAGAUGAAAAAUUGGGACCGGGCAUGGUGGCUCACUCCUGUAAUCCCAGCACUUUGGGAGGCCGAGGCAGGCGGAUCAUGAGGUCAGGAGAUCGAGAUCAUCCUGGCUAACACGAUGAAACCCUGUUUCUACUAAAAAUACAAAAAAUUAGCCGGGCGUGGUGGCAGCGGGCACCUGUAGUCCCAGCUACUCAGGAGGCUGAGGCAGGAGAAUGGCGUGAACCUGGGAGGCAGAGCUUGCAGUGAGCAGAGAUCGCACCACUGCACUCCAGCCUGGGCGACAGAGUGAGACUCCAUCUCAAAAAAAAAAUAAUAAAAUAAAAUUGGAAGUCAGAGUCAAGGUAGAGCUAAAUUGUAUUAGGCUGUUACAGUGCACAACUCCAGGUGCCGUCACUGGCAUUAAAGCCAGGAAGCAAUUGUGGAAAAGGGGAAUGUCUAAUGGUACCUAACUCUAUGAGAUAAUAUAAGAUCUCUAUUUUUCUGGCAUAUGCUUUCAGUAAUUUUAUCAUGUUUGAUAAUUCUUUUGUGACACUGGAUUGAUUUUGGGUGAUAGAAUGUUAAAAAAGGGCUGAGUUAUGAAUCUGAGUUACCAUAGGUGAACGCAAGUACUUUUCCUGCAGCUUACCAGCUGAAAGAAAAGAGAAUAUUUGGGUUUCAUAUGAUUAUGGGAUACUGAUGUCUAAUUUGGGGGGGUUGUUAAGAUAAUUAAACAAAAAGAAAUUAUAAACUGUAUG